rnacentral:rRNA from 1 species
GACGAACGCUGGCGGCGUGCUUAACACAUGCAAGUCGAACGGAAAGGCCCUGCUUGCCGGGUACUCGAGUGGCGAACGGGUGAGUAACACGUGGGUGAUCUGCCCUGCACUUCGGGAUAAGCCUGGGAAACUGGGUCUAAUACCGGAUAGGAGCCAUUUUUAGUGUGAUGGUUGGAAAGUUUUUUCGGUGUAGGAUGAGCUCGCGGCCUAUCAGCUUGUUGGUGGGGUAAUGGCCUACCAAGGCGGCGACGGGUAGCCGGCCUGAGAGGGUGGACGGCCAAAAUUGGGCUGGGAGACGGCCCAGACUCCCACGGGGGGCAAGAGGGGGGAAUAUUGCACAAUGGGCGCAAGCCUGAUGCAGCGACGCCGCGUGGGGGAUGACGGGCUUCGGGUUGGAAACGCCUUUCGCUAGGGACGAAGCUUUUUGUGACGGUACCUAGAGAAGAAGCACCGGCUAACUACGUG